rfam:Conidiobolus coronatus NRRL 28638 unplaced genomic scaffold CONCOscaffold_458, whole genome shotgun sequence.
UGCUAAUAACCAUGAUCUCUUGGCACUGAUAUUGGUGAAGAGUGUUGAAAUCUGCGGUAAGUAGCGUGAGUUGCAUCUUUUGUGAAUCAUCAAAUCUUAACCCAAAUCGGACUAGUACCUUAAAUACUACCAUGUUUGGUUGAGUGAUA